rnacentral:rRNA from 1 species
UACGGGGGGAGCAAGCGUUGUUCGGAAUUACUGGGCGUAAAGGGCGCGUAGGCGGCCACCGCAAGUCAAUUGUGAAAUCUCCGGGCUUAACUCGGAAAGGUCAACUGAUACUGCGGGGCUAGAGUGCAGAAGGGGCAACUGGAAUUCUCGUUGUAGCGGUGAAAUGCGUAGAUAUCGAGAGGAACACCUGCGGCGAAGGCGGGUUGCUGGGCCGACACUGACGCUGAGGCGCGAAAGCCAGGGGAGCGAACGGGG